rnacentral:lncRNA from 1 species
GCCAGAUAAGGGAAGCAGGCCUCCGAAGCCAGCAGUGGCAACCCACUUGGGUCCCUUUCAAUGCUGUGGAAGCGUUGUUCUUUCACUCUUCUCAAUAAAUCUUGCUGCUGCUCACUCUUUGGGUCUGCCCCGCUGUUAUGAGCUGUAACACUCACAGCCAGUGUCUGCAGUUUCACUCCUGAAGCCAGCAAGACCACAAACCCACAGGGCGGGACAAACAACUCCGGACAGGAGGAAUGAACAACUCUGGACGCGCCACUUCUAUGAACUUUUAUGAACUGUAACACUCACCGCAAAGGUCUGCAGCUUCACCCCUGAGGCCAGGGAGACCACGAACCCACCGGAAGGAAUGAACAACUCCAGACGCACUGCCUUUAAGAGCUGUAACACUUACCACGGAUGUCUGCAGCUUCACUCCUGAAGUCAGCGAGACCACAAACCCAACAGAAGGAAGAAACUCCCGACACAUCUGAACAUCUGAAGGAACAAACUCUGGACACACCAUCUUUAAGAACUGUAACACUCACCGUGAGGGUCAACCGCUUCAUUCUUGAAGUCAGCCAGACCAAGAACCCACCAAUUCCGGCUCAUAGGCAGAAGGGACUUUCCUUGUCUCAGAUGAGAAUUUGGACUGUGGACUUCUGCUGAAAGUCAUUUAAUGCUGAAUCUAUCUGAAUCAUGUUAUUGGACCAUGAGAGCAAGCAGCUGGAUCUCAUUCUGUCCAGGGUUUCAUCAUUUUUGGCCAUGCUGGCCUUGAACGCCUAACCUCAAAUGAUCCACCUGCCUUGGCCUCCUGAAGUUCUGGGAGUUAUAGGCAUGAGUCACCAUGCCUGGCACCACAUAAAAUUAUUUUGUCAUUAACAUUACAUUUUAAAAUACAAACGCUGUUUUCCAUAUUACUCAGGUCAGAUCUUUUACCCCACUUCUCUCAGUGAGAUUGCAUUAUUUAUUUCCAUCUCUAUAAUCUACUGUUCAUCCAUCUAUCUAUCCAUCCCUCAAUUUAGUUUUUUCACUACAUUCUGCAUUUGAUUCUUUUGAGGGUGUAUGCUUGUGUUUGUGCGUGGAAGUGGGGGUGUGUGUGUGUGUGUGUGUUCAAAAAGGUCUACAGUUUCCUUUUUCUGUAAUAUCUGUGUCUGCUGUUGGUAUUAGGGUAAUGCUGAACUCAUAGAGUAUGUGAAAAGUUUUCUACAUUCUUUGAUUUUUCUGAAAGAAAUUGUGCAGAAUUCAUAUUAUUUCUUUCUUAAAUGCUCAAGUGUUUAUUAAAAUUUACCAGUAAAA